GGACUACACGGGUUUCUAAUCCUGUUUGCUCCCCACGCUUUCGCGUCUCAGCGUCAGUAUCGGUCCAGGAGGCCGCUUUCGCCACCGGUGUUCCUCCCAAUAUCUACGAAUUUCACCUCUACACUGGGAAUUCCGCCUCCCUCUCCCGUACUCAAGCCAAGCAGUUUCAGACGCACUUCCCCGGUUAAGCCGAGGGCUUUCACGCCUGACUUGCAAGGCCGCCUACACGCGCUUUACGCCCAGUAAUUCCGAACAACGCUCGCACCCUCCGUAUUACCGCGGCGGCUGGCAC
rnacentral:misc_RNA from 1 species